rnacentral:rRNA from 1 species
UACAGAGGGUGCGAGCGUUAAUCGGAAUUACUGGGCGUAAAGAGCACGUAGGUGGUUUGCUAAGUCAGAUGUGAAAGCCCCGGGCUUAACCUGGGAAUGGCAUUUGAUACUGGCGAGCUAGAGUUUGGUAGAGGAAGGCGGAAUUCCCGGUGUAGCGGUGAAAUGCGUAGAUAUCUGCAGGAACACCAAUGGCGAAAGCAGUCUUCUGGACGAAUACUGACGCUGAGGUUCGAAAGCCAAGGUAGCAAACAGG